CAAUAAGCGGAGGAAAAGAAACCAACAGGGAUUGCCCCAGUAACGGCGAGUGAAGCGGCAACAGCUCAAAUUUGAAAUCUGGCUCUCGGGCCCGAGUUGUAAUUUGGAGAGGAUGCUUUUGGCGCGGCGCCUUCCGAGUUCCUUGGAACAGGACGCCAUAGAGGGUGAGAGCCCCGUACGGUCGGACGCCUAGCCUAUACAAAGCUCCUUCGACGAGUCGAGUAGUUUGGGAAUGCUGCUCAAAAUGGGAGGUAAAUUUCUUCUAAAGCUAAAUACCGGCCAGAGACCGAUAGCGCACAAGUAGAGUGAUCGAAAGAUGAAAAGCACUUUGAAAAGAGAGUUAAAAAGUACGUGAAAUUGUUGAAAGGGAAGCGCCUGUGACCAGACUUGCGCCCUACGGACCACCCAGCGUUCUCGCUGGUGCACUCUGCAGGGCGCAGGCCAGCAUCGGUUCUCCCAGGGGGAUAAAGGCCGCAGGAACGUAGCUCUUUCGGGAGUGUUAUAGCCUGUGGUGCCAUGCCUCUGAGGGGACCGAGG
rnacentral:rRNA from 1 species